rnacentral:tRNA from 1 species
ACCGACAACUUCGCAACGCCCUCACAUACGAAGAAUGGCAUGCCAAGGCGACACAGAUUGA